AUGAUUACAAAUGCCCAAAAAAGUGGCCUGUUAGUGGGUCUGGCCUCUGAUCUAAUUCCUAAUGGGGUAGCAGUUCUCCAAUAUGCGGACGAUACCAUCAUAUGCCUGGAGCAUGACAUUGGCAAAGCUGUUAACUUGAAAAUGCUUCUUUAUAUGUUUGAAUUGAUGUCAGGGCUUAAGGUGAAUUUUCAGAAAAGCGAGAUUCUUACUGUGGGGGGUGAUGAUAAUGUGGUGAAUAUGUAUGCAGACUUAUUCCAUUGCGAGGUGGGCAGCUUCCCCAUCAAAUAUUUAGGGAUGCCUGUCAGUUACACCAAUCUCAGAAACUCAGAUUGGGAAUUCAUAGAUACUAAAUAUCUGAAAAAAUUUGAAGCUUGGAUU
rnacentral:rRNA from 1 species